UCAGAUCAAACGAAAAGAGGAUACAAGACAUAGUAGCAUUUUAUUUUGUGAUGGCGAUUAGUAAGAGCAAUGCAAGCUUUGUGUGUUUGGCAACCCUCAUUUUGGUGAUGGCCACUCUAAUGUUGUCAUGUUAUGCUGAUCCAAAAGAAUCAUGCGAUCUGAUGGAAGAUGGAUGCAACAAAACCUAUUGUGAGUUCUCUUGUAGGAUCAUUAGUCACACCAAGGGAUAUUGCCGGGACUUCCAAUAUUGUUGUUGUUUGACUGGCGCAAUGUCCAAGGGGGACGUGGUGCAUCAUCGUGAUUGAGCUUCUAUGAGCGUUGUUUUUCUUUAUUAGAUAUAUGUAGCAAAAGAGCCCUUGCGCUUGCAACGGGUACAAAAUAAAUAAAUUUUAUCGAGAAACAUUUAGCACCUUCCA